rnacentral:pre_miRNA from 8 species
UGUUGUUGUUGCAGUUGAUGAUGAUGAUGAAGAUGGUGUGUGUGUUUGAUGAAAGCUGCUUCACACCCGUCAUCAUCAUCAUCAUCAUCAUCUAAA